rnacentral:rRNA from 1 species
UACAGAGGUGCCAAGCGUUGUUCGGAUUUAUUGGGCGUAAAGGGUGCGUAGGCGGUGAUGCAAGUCGGGUGUGAAAUACCGGAGCCUAACUCCGGAACGGCAUUCGAAACUGCAUCGCUAGAGAUCUGGAGAGGUAAGUGGAAUUCUCGGUGUAGCAGUGAAAUGCGUAGAUAUCGAGAGGAACACCAGAGGCGAAAGCGACUUACUGGACAGAAUCUGACGCUGAGGCACGAAAGCUAGGGGAGCAAACGGG